GAUGAACGCUAGCGGCAGGCUUAAUACAUGCAAGUCGAGGGGCAGCGCGGGUAGCAAUACCUGGCGGCGACCGGCAAACGGGUGCGGAACACGUACGCAACCUUCCCAAAACUGGUGAAUAGCCCUCCGAAAGGAGGAUUAAUACACCGUACCAUAACGAAGAGGCAUCUCUUUGUUAUUAUAGUAGCAAUACGGUUUUGGAUGGGCGUGCGCCUGAUUAGGUAGUUGGCGGGGUAACGGCCCACCAAGCCUGCGAUCAGUAACUGGUGUGAGAGCACGACCAGUCACACGGGCACUGAGACACGGGCCCGACUCCUACGGGAGGCAGCAGUAAGGAAUAUUGGUCAAUGGACGCAAGUCUGAACCAGCCAUGCCGCGUGAAGGAUGAAGGCCCUCUGGGUUGUAAACUUCUUUUAUCUGGGACGAAAAAGCUCUUUCUAGAGCACUUGACGGUACCAGAGGAAUAAGCACCGGCUAACUCCGUGCCAGCAGCCGCGGUAAUACGU
rnacentral:rRNA from 1 species